GACGAACGCUGGCGGCGUGCCUAAUACAUGCAAGUUGAACGCUAAAGCUUUAACUGGUGCUUGCACCGACUUAAGUUUUUAGAGUAGCGGACGGGUGAGUAACACGUGGGUAACCUGCCCAUCAGAGGGGGAUAACACUUGGAAACAGGUGCUAAUACCGCAUAAUUCCUUUUACCGCAUGGUAAAAGGCUGAAAGGCGCUUCUGGUGUCACUGAUGGAUGGACCCGCGGUGCAUUAGCUAGUCGGUGGGGUAACGGCCUACCGAGGCGAUGAUGCAUAGCCGACCUGAGAGGGUGAUCGGCCACAUUGGGACUGAGACACGGCCCAAACUCCUACGGGAGGCAGCAGUAGGGAAUCUUCGGCAAUGGACGAAAGUCUGACCGAGCAACGCCGCGUGUGUGAUGAAGGCUUUCGGGUCGUAAAGCACUGUUGUAUGGGAAGAACGGGUUUAAGAGGAAAUGCUUAAGCAGUGACGGUACCAUACCAGAAAGGGACGGCUAAAUACGUGCCAGCCGCCGCCGUAAAAC
rnacentral:rRNA from 1 species